rnacentral:rRNA from 1 species
GACAGUGGACAUUGGAAGUGGGACGCAACAGUUCCCAAUGGAUCACUGAAGUUAAGCAACGUUGCGCUUGGUUAGUAUCCGGAAGGGUGACAAUUUGGACAAUUGCGUGGAUUGAGUUU